rnacentral:rRNA from 1 species
GGGGAAUAUUGGACAAUGGGCGAAAGCCUGAUCCAGCAAUGCCGCGUGAGUGAUGAAGGCCUUAGGGUUGUAAAGCUCUUUUACCCGGGAUGAUAAUGACAGUACCGGGAGAAUAAGCCACGGCUAACUACGUGCCAGCAGCCGCGGUAAUACGUAGGUGGCAAGCGUUGUCCGGAUUUAUUGGGUUUAAAGGGUGCGUAGGCGGCCUGUUAAGUCAGUGCUGAAAUAUCCCGGCUUAACCGGGAGGGUGGCAUUGAUACUGAUGGGCUUGAGUGGAGUCGAGGUAGGCGGAAUUGACGGUGUAGCGGUGAAAUGCUUAGAUAUCGUCAAGAACACCGAUAGUGUAGACAGCUUACUAGACUUCAACUGACGCUGAGGCACGAAAGUGUGGGGAUCAAA